rnacentral:pre_miRNA from 1 species
UUUAACUAUAACCAUGAGUUUCCGCUGAUCGUUCGUCUUAUUUAAAUUUUUUUUAUAACUAAUAUUUUUGUUGUUAUAAGAUGAUAAAACAUGAAUAAUACUUUACUCGUGACUAAUGUUUUUAUAUAUUUUUUUUAAAAAAAUAAAUAAGACGGACGAUUAAAGUUGGACACGNNNNNN